GACGUAGGAGGCGAGCGUUAUCCGGAUUCACUGGGCGUAAAGCGCAUGUAGGCGGUUGGACAAGUCGUGUGUUAAAGCCCCUGGCUCAACUGGGGGAGGUCAUGCGAGACUGUGCGACUUGAGGGCAAGAGAGGCACGUGGAACUCCCGGUGUAGCGGUGGAAUGCGUAGAGAUCGGGAAGAACACCAGUGGCGAAGGCGACGUGCUGGGUUGCACCUGACGCUGAGAGACGAAAGCUAGGGGAGCGAAUGGG
rnacentral:rRNA from 1 species